rnacentral:lncRNA from 1 species
GAAAAGUCAAGAUUUUUUUUUUUUUCCUUUAGGCUGGGAAGACUAAUCAGAGAGACUGCGAAGUAAAAGGGUUGUUUAUGAUUCACCAUCAAACACAUGUCUUUAAUUAUCACUCUGAAUCCACAUAACAAUAUUCCUUUUUGGCACAAGGUCUGUACUAGAUGAAUGAUAAAAAAGAGCCAUAAGUGUGUAAGUGCCAUAAGUGUGUAGUAUUCAGAGACAGACAAGAUCCUCUCUAGUUGCAGUGGUCAAAAAGUCUUAUCGAGUAGGAAGGCUUUGACAUGAACCUUUUUUUUCUAAGUUUAAAACUAUUUUAUUUAUUUUUUCAGAGACAGGGUCUUGCUUUGUCACCCAGGCUGGAGUGCAGUGGCGGGAUCAUAGCAGCCUCAAGCUCCUAGGCUCAAGUGAUCUUCCUGCCUCAGCCUCCCAAGUAGUUAGGACUACAGACAUGUGCCACCAUGACCAACUACGUUUUAAAUUUAUUUUUGUAGCAACAGGGUCUCCGUAUGUUGCCCUGUCUGGUCUCAAACUCCUGGCCUCAAGUAAUCCUCCUAUGUCGGCCUCCCAAAGCACUGGGGUUACAGGCAUUAGCUACUGUUCCCAGCUUUCAUUUGGACUUUAAUGGAUAAGGAAGACUUAGAGCAGCAUUAUCAAAUUCUUUGGCCUUAGGACCCCUGUAUAACACUCUUCAAUAUUAUUGAGGACCCCAAACAGGUUUUGUUUAUAUGGGUUAUAUCUAUCUGUAUUUACCAUAUUAGAAAUUAAAACAGACAAUUUACAAAUAUUUAUUAAUUUAUUUUAACCUAAAUUACAUGUUAACAUAAAUAUUUUUAUGAACUAUAUUUCCCCAAACAAAAACAGUUAGCAAAGUGGUAUUGUUUUACAUUUUGCAUUUUAACAGGAGACAGGUGGGUUCUUAUAUUUGCUUCCGUUGUGAUACUGCAUGUCAUGUAGCCUCUGGAAAACUCUACUGUACACCUGUAACAGAAUGAGAGUAAAAAGGCAAAUAGCAUCUUAGUAUUAUUAUGAGCGUACCAUUGACAUUGUGGGCCCCCGAGAAGCACUCUGAGAACCACUGAUUAAAAAAGACUAAGGGCAAAAUAGAGGGAUGGCAUAAUUUUAAAGGUAGGAGGGUAUAAGGCAUGUUACAGAGAGAGCAAACAGACCAAUCUGGUAGUUGUGAAAGAUUCACAUGGGGGAGGUGGAGGAGAUAUGGCUAGAAAUGUAUACUGGGGGAUCGUGUUAUAUCAAUUAAAAAAUACUAGCUUCCUUAAUUAUGACCAUCUUCACUGACCUCUAAUUUUGGCAUCAGUAAGCUUCAGGGUAGGAAUGAUAGAAGAGAAAUUCAUAUUGGUUUCAGGCAACUCUAAAGUUAUGUGGCUGACAGUAUUCUAAUUGAUUUGUUGAUUGCUUUAUCUAUUUAAUGUAUUUAGUGUUUACUACAUUCAAAGAAGCAACAUAAGAACUAGUGAUACAACGAUGAUAAAGACACAGUCUCUACUUUAUAGGAGCUCCCAAUUGAGUGGAAGAUUCAGAUAUUAAAAUAAGCAAUACACUCAUUAAUCUGGAGGAAGACAGAGGAGAGGGCUGCUAACUGUGCCUGGGUGGUGUCAUAGACAGCAUUGUACAGGAAACCUUUAAGUCCCAAAUACUAAUAACCACUGAUACAUGACCAUGGUGAGAAAUACUUGAUGUAUAAGGAUGACAGAUUCAGUACUAGAGUUAAUACAGUAGUUCUGGUGAGAUAGUCAGAUAGUCUAUAGAAAAAUUUCCUGAAUAUAUGUUCUCUUUUGAAAGUAAGAGUGUACAAAUUUUCUUUCUCCUAAAGCCCUGCAGCAUCUUUCUACUGCUAGGCCUGGGAGACACCAUCAGUUAUCUUAAUGUCUCUAUUUUCUUCAGUUUGAUCACCUUUUUAAAUCUUUUUGUUCUCUGUGACUCAGUAACAAGAGUGAAGGGGAGGAAGAAAUUUAGGUAAUUACAACAGCUUUAAACUAAGAACUGAGAACACCUUUACUAACCCAACUAAUUAUGAUUAAAUACGUAAAUAGAGAACCUAUCUCCCAGCACCACCUGCAGGGGAUGAGGAAGUCUGCAACAGGAUUCAACACUUCCUUUUCUGCCAACAUAUCUUUAGCCCAACAUUCCAUUAUUGAGAAUCUACCAAGUUAAGAGCCUGCUUUUAGUGGCUGAGGAGAAUACAAAGACCAAUAAGGAUAAUCUACCCAUACUCUGAGGAACAUUAUUAAAACUUGGGGAUGUUUGUGAUAAUUAAAAUAGCUUGGAAAGAACUGAUUAAAUCGAAGAGAAUCAGACUUCUUUUGUGAAGAUUGAAUAGUAAAGCAACUACUGCAUUGCCAUUUUACAUCCCCCACUGAUAGAAACUAAUAACAAAGGUGAUUCCACAGUUUUAAAAGUAAAAUAAUAAUGAUUAGUUUUGGAUCUUCAAGUCUGUUAAGUUUGCAAUAUGAUGGGAAAAGCCUGUGUUGCACACCAUCUUAUAUGGACCUGUUAAGCAUGCUCUUUUCCUAAUUUAAGGCUGGCCCCAGACAGCUACCUUAGGGCUCUCUGCUAGUCAUUAGAGGAAUCAGAUGGAAAAAGAUACAUGGAUUAGUAUAAAUCCAUAUGCACCUAUUCAGUAAGUAAUAAGAACUUUUUCCAGUAAGAGCUUUUUCUUUACUUAUCAAAUCAUGUCCUAGAAUUUAAAGAGAAUGAGGUUUUCAAAAGUUCCUAGUCUUUUGAAAUCUCACAAACAAGGAUAAAAUAUUUGUUUUUUGAUUUCAGAAUUUAACAAAGAAGCAGAAUAUACCAGACACACAAGAAGCAAAAGAAAUGAAAUGAGCAUUCAUAACAACACGCUUAGAGCACAGAAAGCCUUAUCCUGGGUGAGUGAUCAGGAAUAUGAAUAAAGCUGAUCUGUAGGAUGGCUUUCAAUGUUUUUGUUUAGAUGUGCAGUCUUACUAUAUGUACAGGCAAGAUUACUAGAGGGAACAGUCAGUCAGCUAUCACCCAUCCUACAACCCAAGAAAAUGCUCACAGGCACCUGGGUAGUCAUAUUCAGGUGUUCUCAGUCUUUUUUCACUAGAGUUUUGAACUGCCUAUUGUAUAUUAAGGCUUGAGUUACCACUCCCAAUUUAUACCACUUUCCAAAAUCACACCACACAUUAUAAAAACAAUGAUAUGGAUUGGUAAUUACAAUAAUACACCGUCAGAGGUAAAGGGAUACAAUAUGUCAUGUAGACCAGUUAUUUCUCAACGUAUGGGUUCUAUAUCUGCAAAAUAAUGUAUUGCUUAUUACAAAUUCAGACUACUAGGCUCCAUGUCAAAACGAAUCAAUUUCAAGCCAAGGAUGGAAUCCAAGAAUCUGCAUUUUUGACAAGCUCCUUAAGAUGAUAUGUGCAUUAAGGUUUGGGAACCAUUCAUAUAGUCAAACUCCUUCAUAUGACAGAUAAGGACAUCAUAUGAGAGAAGUUAAGUGAUUUGGCCAAAGUGGACAGCCAGUCAGAGGCAGAAACCAGACUCACACUUAAAUCUUGACUCCUAAGCUACAAUUUUUCCAGUUAUAAAUAGUUUGUAUUUAUUUGUAAAUUCCCGGUACACCUAAAUGAAAACGGAAUUUGAGGUCUUUGUUCCUUGACAUUCCCCAAAGGUUUAAUACCAAUAAUUUACUAUUAAUGGGCUCCCAGCACUUGCUAAGUAAGCUGUUGUCUUCCGAUUUAGGGAAUAUCAACUAUAGAAGCUUGUGGACAAAGGUGUUUUGUUAACUUGUUACCAUCCCAUUCCCCUUCACAAUAAGACAUGCAAGUUCAUUUAUCAACAAGAGCAUAUACUCAUUUUUCUCAAAUCACAAGAGACAAUAAAAAGUAAAUGGAAAACCCUGCUACUAGUGUUAAACAAGAAUAUCCCAGCCUCUAUAACAACAUACCAUAUGGUAUUUCCCUACCUUGUUCAGUAUUUAACCUAACAAUUUAUUGCUAGGCUUCUUGGCAGCAAGCUGUGCAAGUUGAAGUGGAAUCUGAUUGAGGUGAGUUAAUUAAUGUGGUGGCAGCUCGGAAUGUUGUCCAGCUGCCAGUGAGAAUUAUGUUUGUUUGCCUUUGGCCCAAGUGUGAAAUGGCUGGCUGUUGAUUUCAGAAGUGUGAGUGUACAUUUUUAUAUCUCACAUGAAUGAAUACAUUUUUUGUAUCCUACACAUUUGGGGAAAUGCUAAAAUUUAUUGGGUCAUGUUAUUUACCACUUGUGUGGCAGAAAGAGAAAGGUGGAAUUUUGCCCCAGAGGUUGACUUUGCAUCUGUAGAAAAAGCAAAAGCAGGUGGCAUAUAAAUCCAUGAGCAGGUAAAUAAGCUGUCUGAAAUUAGCUCAUCUGGCCUAAUGUUUUAAAGAAUAACUUUUAAAAGGAGGUAGGCAAGAUUUUUGAACCAGAAAAGAAUAACUCUUGUAAUGAUGAAAGGAUUUUGAAAGUAGGAAACAUAGUUUUUAGAUUUCCCUGGAAAGACAUGGCUUUUGGAUUUACUGUUGACUUACAUUUACAAUUCUUAUUUUUACUACACACAACCUUCUAUUGAAUACAUCAUCUCACUGUGCAAUCUUCCUUUCUAUCUAUAACUGAUGACAGUGAUUUCUGUGAUGUGUUCUUAAUGUUCUUGAUAAUUUUGACUAGCUGUUACUGAUAUGAGCAGGGGGUUCUCCAAUUCAAGCAGUCAAUAACUGACACUAAACUAACAAAGUUCAAAGAACAUUUGAAGUGUGUCAGAUAUUAUUCCCCUAUUUUUUUCUAUGUAAUAUCCUGUUAAGUUAAAAUGCCUUGAGAAAAGUUUACCUUAGAUUAAGGAAAUAGAUACUUAAAAAUAUAAUGUAUAAAUAUUUCUUUUAUUUUACCAUUUUGAACAAAAUUAAUACACUAAAAGCAAAGGAAAUAGCAUGGAAGUGAUGUAAGAGCAAAUAAUAUGAAAAGUUUGCAAAUCUAACAAAGCAUUACCAAAACCCUUUUUGAUGACAAGCAGAUUUCCUUAAAUUUUGAUGUUACCAUGAGGAUAUUAAGAAAACUUUAAAAUAAAAGUGUUCAUACUUUGGAAGACAUUCAAUGAAAUUAGUCUGGUAAAAAAUCUAGUAAAAAUAGUAUUUUAGAUGCAGAAGUAUAUAGAAAAAACACAAGUGAAUUAGUGCAGAUAUAGGACCAUGGAUUCACAGAACUUUAGAGAAUAAAGAGAAAGUAAGGAAAUUUGAAUAAAGUAUGAAUUUAGUUAGUAAUAAUGGAUUGAUAUUUGCUCAUUGAUCAUUACAAAUGUACCAUACUCAUGUAUGAUGUUAAUAAUAGGAGAACUAGACAGAUUCCUAGGCUAAGUUUCUGUGCUGGUAAAAUUCAUAUACAUAUGAAGUACUGAAUGAAUGGUAUCAUUCUUAAGGUAUUAUAACUUGUGUUGAUGUCAGUAAUCAUCUAGUACAUGACAACUUCUAGAGAUUCAUAGGAUUGUGAUAUUUGUUAUGCUAAGGCCUCCUGAACAAAAAUGGCACUUUAUUUAGAAGGUGCAUCAGUGUAUUAGUUAUUUGUGUUAAGAAUUACCUCAAGGACAGGUGCGGUGGCUCAUGCCUGUAAUCCCAGCACUUUGGGAGGCCAAGGCAGAUGGAUUACCUGAGCUCAGGAGUUCGAGACCAAAAAAAAAAAAAAAAAAAAAAAAAGGGGGGGAAUUACCUCAAAAUCUGGUAGAUUAAAGCACUAAAUAUUAUCUCAUAAUUUCUGCUGUGGUUCAGGAAUUUAAGAGCAGCUUACCUAGGGGGUUCUGGCUCAGGGUCUCUCAUGAGGUUGCAGUCAAGAUGUCAUCCUGAACUAGAGUUAUUUUAUUUUUUUACACAAUGAAUUACUUUUAUUUCGGUAUGCAUCCACAUUUCAGCAUUUAAUGGUCCUGAACAGAAAGUGGAAAGACGCACCAAUUUCCCAGGAGGUCAAGCCCGCCAAUUUCAGGGAUCUGCUAUGCACACUGGGUUCUUUCUUAAUCCCUGCUGAGGAUCUUGAGAAGCAGCAGCAGCACCAAAACCAAGGCACGCACUGGAUUCAAGGUUCUUUUUGUUCCAGUUGUCAGAUUCCAAACUAGACCUCAAUGGAUUGCAAGGAUGACCAAAUGAAAGCCCUGUUUAAAACUUCUUCAGUUUUUAAAAGCAAAAGCAAUUACAGGAAGUAAAACAAUUCAGAGGGAUCACGUGUGCUUACAAGUGUCUUCUUGUGGUCUUUCUCCAAUUUCAACCACCAAGGACUCCGAGAGCUGGCAGGUCUGAGUAACCCUGGUGACUUUCCUUUUCACCUUAUCAAAACCUGAGCUAAAAACAACGCAUCAGCUGACGACAGCAGAGGGUGGCAGGGCUGAAAACCCAAUAUUCAUUUCCCAGGCUGAUGGAGAAUGAAUAAGUAUGGUUCCAAAACUAAACAAGGGAGGUUAGAGACUUUCUAACCUUACCUGAUGGCUUCUGCCCAAAGCAAGGAAGUGUCAUGGAAGGUAUUGAGUGGUGAUGGUGCAGAAAGCAACUUGAGGAGGGAAGAAAAAACAGCAUCCCUCGAUAAAGGUGGGGGAGAGAAGAUACUGGGAAAGCCCUGAAUUCCUUACCAAAGGCCAAUCUUAGAGGGGAGCGGAGGGGUUACAACCUAUGCUUCUGCCAAAGGCAGGAGUGGAGGAGUGUGGGGACAGGAUGACGGAUUGGAAGGUGCAUAAGACUUAAAGAAACCAGGGGUGCAGGUGAAGCACCCCACACACCUAGCAGUAGUCCCACAGGCUGCAACCUGAAACCUUCACAUCCACUCUAACAAGCCAAGCUAGAGGGCUGUUGCAGGGAGGGUGGGAGGCAGGAGGGUAAGGGGAGAAGGCAGAGACCCCCAGGCCAUGUAAUCAGCAAGGUGAUUGUGUGAUGUUUCUUUUCACAGUUGAGUUAGAUAUGCCCCACUAGUUAUGAUGGGAAUCAAUUUAAUUAGAAUUUCUCGAUUCCAGAAGUUCAACUACGUGGACAGUGGUUACACUUGAUAGGAUGAUUUGUUAUAGCAAAACUUAUAUAUUUC